rnacentral:rRNA from 1 species
UACGAAGGGUGCAAGCGUUAAUCGGAAUUACUGGGCGUAAAGCGCGCGUAGGUGGUUCAGUAAGUUGGAAGUGAAAUCCCCGGGCUCAACCUGGGAACUGCUUUCAAAACUGCUGAGCUAGAGUACGGUAGAGGGUGGUGGAAUUUCCUGUGUAGCGGUGAAAUGCGUAGAUAUAGGAAGGAACACCAGUGGCGAAGGCGAUCACCUGGACUGAUACUGACACUGAGGUGCGAAAGCGUGGGGAGCAAACAGG